GAUGAACGCUUGCGGCUUUCCUAAUACAUGCAAGUCGAGCGAACGGACGAGAAGCUUGCUUUUCUGAUGUUAGCGGCGGACGGGUGAGUAACACGUGGAUAACCUACCUAUAAGACUGGGAUAACUUCGGGAAACCGGAGCUAAUACCGGAUAAUAUUUUGAACCGCAUGGUUCAAAAGUGAAAGACGGUCUUGCUGUCACUUAUAGAUGGAUCCGCGCUGCAUUAGCUAGUUGGUAAGGUAACGGCUUACCAAGGCAACGAUGCAUAGCCGACCUGAGAGGGUGAUAGGCCACACUGGAACUGAGACACGGUCCAGACUCCUACGGGAGGCAGCAGUAGGGAAUCUUCCGCAAUGGGCGAAAGCCUGACGGAGCAACGCCGCGUGAGUGAUGAAGGUCUUCGGAUCGUAAAACUCUGUUAUUAGGGAAGAACAUAUGUGUAAGUAACUGUGCACAUCUUGACGGUACCUAAUCAGAAAGCCACGGCUAACUACGUG
rnacentral:rRNA from 1 species